CCGCAUACGUCCUACGGGAGAAAGCAGGGGACCUUCGGGCCUUGCGCUAUCAGAUGAGCCUAGGUCGGAUUAGCUAGUUGGUGGGGUAAUGGCUCACCAAGGCGACGAUCCGUAACUGGUCUGAGAGGAUGAUCAGUCACACUGGAACUGAGACACGGUCCAGACUCCUACGGGAGGCAGCAGUGGGGAAUAUUGGACAAUGGGCGAAAGCCUGAUCCAGCCAUGCCGCGUGUGUGAAGAAGGUCUUCGGAUUGUAAAGCACUUUAAGUUGGGAGGAAGGGUUGUAGAUUAAUACUCUGCAAUUUUGACGUUACCGACAGAAUAAGCACCGGCUAACUCUGUGC
rnacentral:rRNA from 1 species